CUCUGGCCAAUGCCAUCCGCCCGAAUCUACAGACAUCUUGCGUGUUCCCGGGCUGUCUGCUCGUCUUCCCAAUACAGGGCGCCAAGCAUCCUACCAAGGCGAAUCCGUUGACCAGGGUUUAAGUUGAGGACGCUCCCAGGACCCCGGGUGCAGCGUCUGGGUCCCCCUCUGCCCUGCCCUGCAGCCUCUUCCCUUGUCCUGCCAGGCUGUAGACUGCGCAGCCCUCCAGGAGACAGAUGGAAGCUGCUUGGGUCGACAGAUUACAACUUCUGCAGCAGCUGGAGCCCCCUACUCCCUUCAACUCAGUGAUGGGCACCCACUGGCCAGGGAGAGGAUGCCUGGAAAUAACAGCCGGGAUCUACAGUGGCCAUAAGAGUUGUCUCCAUCUUGAUAGAUUGAUGCAAUUUCUUCAUUUAUAGUCGGAAGUAUGUGAAGUGCCAGGAGAGACAAUACACUCCAGAGCGCCAUGCCCUGAUGUGCCUUUGAGCAGCUAGCGCGGUGGAUCAUCAGACCUAUCUCCCCAGAGCUCCAGUCCCUUCUCCGGAGAGGAAGUGGGUCCACUGGCAGCUCAGGAGGCCAUAACAGGAUUGUCAGUUGAUGUCUGCCACGUGUGCUCAGCAGUGUCGGCUUUCCAAAAGAGGCUGGAACAGGGCCCUUGAAGAUGUUUGUGGACACCAGAGGACCAAAGACCACGCUCAGAG